UGGCCCCCCAAUUCUCCAGUCCCUGCCUGCGCCUCAUCUUUCCUGGCUGUGGCCACAUUUCUGAAAGUGAUGUUUCCUUUGGUGGCCAGCGUGGCCCUCCCACUUCCUGGUCCCGGGCGAGGAGCAGGCACCUCAGAUUCCUGAGCCCAGAGCCAGUUGGAUGCUGCCGGUGGCAUCCCGGGGGUGGGGGGGGCUGGAAGGUGGGAGGCACCCUGAGCCCAGGCAGGACUGACGAGGGGACAGUGGCCAUUCUUGCCAGGUCCUCACCCCCAGCGACGCCAUCAUUCAGGACUCGCACACUUACGAGGCGCCUUGUAAAUGCUUCACACACGGACGACUCAGCCCUGCAAUGACUAUGGGGGGUAUCGUCACUCCAGGUUUGGACUGGGAGUCACGGGGAAGAGGUCUGUUCCCGGGAGUAACAGAAGGUGGAGGCAGGAUCAGCACCAGCCUGGCCGACUCCAGAGUCGAGAACAGCCUGGUCCACUAAGGUUACAGCCAAAACGCAGGCCCUGGACGAGGCGGGACCAGCUCCUCUCCGGAGUGUAUGCAGUAGGCACUCAGCAGUGCGCGUGGUGUGCUCACUGGAUACUCACUGACAGCUGAACCGAGAGACAGAGCCACCUCAUCCAAGCCAGUCCCUUCUGUGCAGAGUGAGGGUUCAGGGCCCCUCUCCUUCUUGGGGUGACCCGGACGUCACAGCCCAUGUGUCUGUGACUUGGGCGAACUCCUGGUCCUGUGGAUGUUGGUGGUACCCAUUGGGCAAAGAUGAGGGUGUAGUUCAGAGGAGCAGAGGAUUGUCAAGAAAGAGGCAGGAGGCGGGACACCUGGCCCUCCGAAGACGGGCGAGCCUGGAGCAGUGCCUGGAGCCUGGCAGUGGGUGUUGGCUUGAUGCACGGUGCUCACGGCACCUCCUCCCUCCCUCCUCCUGGAGCAGACGGUGCCUGUGAUGUCUCCUGUCGGCUCUGCUCUCACCGGCUUCCUGGCCGGGGCCUGGUUCCCGGCCUUGAGCUCUCUUGGAAGGAAGUGCCCACUUAGAGGAAGUGCACAGAGGUAGUGAGCUCCCUCCUCAGGCGGGGCCAGCAGCUAAAAGGUGGGUGGAGCCCGC